rnacentral:lncRNA from 1 species
AGUGGACCAGAUGUUCUCCACAACACUGAUGGCAGAAAAUGGAUAUGGCAUUGUUCCAUCAUUCUAAUUACAGCAGAAGAAAAGAGGACCCUCUUCGGAUAACAAUUGUACUGGUUUUUAGUUAUUAUUAAAUAUCUGCUACUGAUACUUACUGUAUCUUUCCCACUUAUAUAUAAUUGGUUUAAGGUAAUGACAUGUAUGGCUCUUCUUGCCAUUGCUAUGCUGUAAAUGCAUUUGCAUCCUUUUAACUUAUAAUAUUUGACUUUCUCAUAAACUACAACUUCACUGUUUGGAGUAGAAGGUGUUUCCUAUUUUAAAGUUAGCAAAGACCAGGCAGGAGAUGGCAUGUGUAAAAAUAUAUAGUGAAUCUUUUCUGCUUAGAAGUUUCAAGUGAUUUAGUACAUGUCUUUCUGGAGAGGGACUGGUUUGUUUUGUUAAAGCACAAGGAGCAUUCCUGCUUUUGUUUGGGCCCUUGCUCUUUUCACAUGGAAUAUCUCAUUUCCGUAGCGCCAAGAACUUUUCUGGAGGCAUUAUACUGCAGCCAACUUAUUCUGCCAAAAUGUUCACUGCUGCAUACCUCGAUGAUUGAUCUGUUAAUUGGAACUUUGCUACAAAAUAAAGACAUGGUAUCCAAGAAGCACAUAUAUUUUCCAUCCAUACGAAAUUCGGAAGCAGAUAUAAGUGAGGUGCAGAUAGAGGGAGUGAAUUCCAUUUUAAAAUCCACAAAUGACAUUCCUCUGCAAAAACAUAGGACAUUCUAGUGGCAGAAUGAACUAGCCAUUUUUACGAAUUAAGUUGUUAUUCCAUCGCUAGCAUAAUCCAGGUAUGUUCCUUAUUGGGAAUAUGAUGAAGAUCCAGUCUGCUUUCUUUGCUAGUGGCAUAGUAACUGUGCCAUCUACAAGUUAAAAUGCUUACUUUGUCUGAGAAAGCAAAGCUCAUAUUUCAUCAGUAAGUGCUGCUCCUCAUCAAUAUGGACAAGACUUUGUUUCCAUCAACCUUCCUCGGUAGUCUCAAAAUUAUAACUUUUCUACACUGAUGAACUUUUGGUUUUCGAUGGAAGGAUUUUCCAUUAAUAUUGGAACACUUUAUAUGCGCAAGUAUAUGUGAAACCAAAGUUCAGCCGCUGAAAGUGGAAUGAACAUAUGGAGGCUAUUGAAGCUUUAAAGCUGGAUGCGCUUUGGUUGCUCCGACUAUUUUCCAAUAAACCUCAAGAAAAAAAAACUGUGUUCAUACUAUUCUUGGGCCCCAAGAUAUCAAUUCCUUGGAUGUAAUAUAUUGAGCAUCUGCGAUUUCCUUUCACUCCUUUUAGACAGAUUCUAACUUCAUCACCACCUCCACAAACUCCUGGAAGGUAAACAAAUUCCGAGAUACAUGUUGAUGCAACUUUUUUCACCAAGGGCUAAGAUUACUUUAUGUGCAAGAAGGGCCUGCAAAAGGAAGGAAAGCAAGAGUGAGAUCUUAGAAGCUCCGGCGGUGGUAUGGUGUGGACUGACAUAGAAUCUGGUCCAUAAGUGCUUCACAGAAGGCAUGCAAGCAUGAGAUGUAAUAUAUGAGGAAUAUUUUAUCGCAAUGUCUAAAAGAGAACACCUUUGAUUCCACUGAACAUCCAGCAAAAGCUGGAAAUUGAUCAUCUUAUUCAAUGGUUUCUACUUUUUUUCAAAAUUGCCAGCCAUUAGCCAUGUGUUAUGCUACAACUUUUUUUAAGUUGCAGGACCAUGCAAAAAGACAAACCAAGUCAAUUAUAAGAGUGCGUAGAAAAAAACUGAAGAGUAAUUCUCCAUGAGUAGGAUCUUCAUCAACAAAGACAUGCUGCACUUUUGCUCACCUUUUCAAAGGAUGUGCACAUCAAGCACAUGGGAGAACAAAGUUCAUCCUCAGAGAAAGAAAGAAAGAAAGAAAGAAAGAAACAUAAAUAUAUAUAUAUAUAUAUGUAUCAUUGUACAGUCUCUCAAGUAGGCCAUUAUCUAUUGCUGUAAGAUGCUGAGCUUUUGGUGGAAGUCAUUGUUAUAAACACAAUGUUGCAAAAUCUGGUUUUGAUGAUGAUGUCUUCCAGCAGAUUGUAGAAAAUGGUUAUAAGGCGCCUUAUAUUUGUUUGGUUUCUACUUCCUUAAGAUUUCAUUUAAUCCCCACUGUUAGUUUCAUUAUGGUUUCUACUUUCCUUAAGAUUGCAGGAAACCAGAAUAUAUCUUAGUGCACAGUUGACAAAAUAAAAAAUAACCCAUCCUGAAUAUGCUAAAACAUUCAAGGUUUGCAUUAACAUUCUGCAAUCUAUAUUUGAGGUGGAAAUUUGACGAGGAAGAAAAAAAGUCAAAAAGGUUGAAGAGAGAAGCAAAAGUGCACAUCAAUUGUAUCAUGUGUGAGAAAAGUUGACUUCACUUUUCACUUUUCAGUACAAAAGGCAGUGUAUAAAGGGUAGCAAAUUUAGAGAAAGAAUGAAUAUGCCUAAUAAUGCCAAGUUGCCAGCCCUUUUGCAAAAGCUGGUGGUGCUGGAUGUGGAUACCCCAGCCAGAAGCUCACACACCCUCUUGCUUUACCAAGUAUUGCCACUUGGCCAUGCCUUUUCACCCUUUUUUUUUUCUUUUCUUUUCUUUUUCUUUUUUCUCUUUUGUUGAUGAGAAGAGAAAAGAAAAGCACAACCACACAACUCCUCCUUGGGUAAAGCUGCUUGGCGUUGUAUCUGCUGACGUAGCACUGUGACCCACUUUUCUACAUCAGCACGAGUCAUGUAUACUCAUCAUAGAAAGAGGGUUUGACUUUAGAAGAGAGGCUAAGCUAAAUAAAACAGAGUGCAAGCAAAGAUAUAAUAAAAAGACCACCUGUGAGGAGUAUAGACAAUUGAAAUGGGCCUUCCAUUUUUGGGCCUCCUAUAUGGGCCAAUAGUAAGGCCCACCACCCAAACAACAUUAACAAGUCCAAAUUGGAUACAAAAGCAAAUGUGGCUACUCAUCUUUUCUUUCUUCCAAGGCUUUUCACCCUAUAACUUACUGGUAAAUAAGAUUUUAAAUAUCGAGAAUUUCGAAAACAUUAGUAGUUUAAAAACAUCGAAAUAUUGAGUAAAAUAUUGAUAUCGAUAAAAAUUAGAUAAAAAUCACAUGGAAAUUUUUAAUGAAACUUUAGAAGUUUAUUUAGUCAAUCACCUAUUAUUUUGACACAAAAAAUUGGAAGGAAAUGUAUUGCAUAGUGAGUUUGAGUGAUUUAAGUUGAUUAUAUUGCAAGCUGACAAACUCUGUGACUUAGAAAAUUUGGAGUAAUUAAUGAAAGAAAAUUAAACACCCUAUAGUAAUUUAUUUAUUAUUUUUACUACAAUAUUUUACACUUUAUAAAUUGCAUGGUAAGACACAUGAGUAAUCUUAUUUCACGUUAUUUACUGGACAUGGUACACUUUCUUAUAUUUAUUAUUUAUCAAAAAUUAAAAAAUAAUUAAAGAUGUAAACCAACUUGAGUUGUCAUGAAAAUUAGGCACUUUACCAUGCUUAAAAAAUAAUAGUGAAGAUUGAAAAUUAAGUAAGAACAUAAAUAAAUUUAUCCUAUUAAAUUAGAAAUAAAGAAAAUAAUUAUAAAAAUUAUAAAAAUUUAAGUAAUUAAGCAACAAUUUGGAGGGAAAUUUAGUAAUGUAAGUAUUAUAAUGAAUAAUAAAAUAAUCAAUAACAUUAAAUGGAUUAAAUAGGAAAGAAACAAAUUAUAUUAAGUAAUUAAUCAACAAUAUAAAACAAUAAGUAAUUGUGUUCAUUUCUAUUUUGAGAAACAGCUCGCAAGAUUUAUAAAUACGAGAUUCCAUAAAUAAUAAUCACAAAGUGAUGACUAGCAUGGUGGUUAAAUGGCUCCAGAACUUGGAAGGGGAAGGCGUUCAAACCCCUAUGUGCAUGAGUUUAAGUGAAUUAUUUCAUUUUUGAAACUUCAUAUAUUAUCACGAUAUAUUGACUAUUUGCAACUACCACUUAAACAAAAUUAUCGGAGUUCGAGUCCUAGCAUCCGUGUAGUGUGCGAGUUUAGUAUGCUAUCGCCCUUCUCAAUAAAAUAAGACUUAGCGUAUUCCCCAAACCACUAUCCCAGAUGUUUUUUUUCUAUCAGACGUGACGCGCGCGGGGGGAGGGGGGGGGGAGGAGAAUAUAAUAAAAAAAGCACAUAAUUGGUUCGAGAUAGAAAUACGGGGGAAAGAAGCCCAAAAUAGUGCGCUUGAACCCGAGCCGAGCCAAGCAGCUCCCUACCAAUCUAGCCGAGCUGAGCCGAACAGCCCAACCAAUCUGGACAGUAGCUACCCCUCUCUCUCGAACAUAGCUACUCAUGCUCAACUGAACAUCCCUGAAGUAAGUCCUUUAGAUCCCAAUACUUCUCAAAAUAUUGUUGAAAUUGUGAAAAAAUUACGUGCACGAGCAAAUAUGGGAAUACCACUAGACAGAUUCUCACCAGAAGAGAAGGUGAAAUAUGUCAUUGCUGAUUACGUCUCCCUACACAGAUUGUCUCCUCAAGCUAAAACAUUUGUUAAUCAAAUGAAAGGAAUUAAAAUUCCUAAUCGAUUGGAAGAAGACUUGCAAUCCAAAAUGGGUGGAAGCAAUGAAUGUGGAGAUGGAGACCUUACAGAAGAAUGGAACAUGGGAGAUAGUUCUACAACCUGAAGGAAAGAAACCUGUUGGAUGUCGAUGGGUGCCCACAAUUAAGCACAAAGUUGAUGACAUAAUAGACAGAUAUAAAGCAAGACUUGUGGUCAAAGGGUAUAAGCAGAUGUAUGAAGUUGAUUAUUAGGAUAUUUUUGCAUCGGUGGAAAAAAUAAAUACGGUGCGAGUUCUAUUGUCUUUAAUAGCUAAUUUAGAUUGUCCUCUCAAGAAAUUCUAUGUGAAGAAUGCCUUUCUGCAUGGAGAUCUAGAAGAAGAAGUGUACAUGGACAUGCCAUCUAGUUAUGGAUUGUCUAAUAAUAGUGGGAAGGUGUGUAGGCUUCGAAAGACCCUUUAUGAAUUGAAGCAGUCUCUGCAAGCAUGGUUUGGAUGGUUCACUGAAGCAAUGAAGAAGUAUGGAUAUCAUCAAAGUAACUCAGAUCAUACCCUAUUUAUCAAACAUAAGGAUGGUAAUAUUACUUUGUUGAUAAUUUAUGUUGAUGAUAUGAUAGUUACUGGUGAUGAUGUUGUUCAAAUGGUUAAAUUACAGAAGUACUUAGCCUUAAAGUUUUUGCCAAGCUUGCUCAUUCCCUUUUUCUGAUUUUGAGUAUAACUUAUUAUAUAAUGAGUAGAGGUGGAUGUGGUUCAAAAACUACAAUUUUUCCGACAAACCGCAAAGCGCUUGAGACAAUGCGGUAUUGCAUAAUUUCAAACCGCUGUCUUUCGCAUAGUUGCGGUUAACUGUGAUUCGGUAGAACUGCAACUCCGGUAGGAGUCUUCAAAAAAAGUGGUAUCCAUCGAUUGACUAAGAAAAAGGGAGAGAGGGGGAGAAAUCAACCGAGAAAGAGAAGAGGGAGAGAGAUGAUUGGGAGAGAAUGAAGAAAAUAAAUUGCAGAUUGAAGAGAGAGAAGAAGAAAAGUAGAACAGGUAGAGAGAAAGAAUAAGAAAAUAUAUUAUAUAUACUAGCCUCUCCGCAAGUGCUUCCGCGCUUACAUGAGGUUUUUUUUUUUUGGUUAAAUUUAAAUUUAUUUUAGAAUUAAAAAAGAUAAUGAGUAGUUGUGUAGGAUCAAUUAUCUGAAUUUUCUUUUAAUUUUAAUUUUUUUAAUAUGAAAAAGUAUGAAUUUACCAUAUUAUCCUCAUUUAAUUAAUAAUUUCAAUUCUUUCUUUCCGCUCGAAACACAGAGAAGGUUCAUAGAGAGAGGUGGCGGUGAGAGCAGUAGAGAGGAGCAUAGUGAGAGACUGAGACAGAGAGCAGAGAGAGGUCGACGAGAUAUCAGAGAAGAGGAGAGAUAGCUUCGCGUUGAGAGUUCGAGAUUGAAGUGAGAAAGCUCUACGCCGUCUCUGCAUCUCUUUCCCGCUCUCCUCUUUGUUUAGGUACCAUAAUGUUUAUUUAAAUUGACAGGUUUGAUCAACGUGCUUAUGACAAUUGUCUAUGUAAUGAUGUUGUAUGAUUCUCGUGUAUGAAUUUAAAGAAAUGUCUCUUUGAAUUGAAUAGGGAACUUAAAAUGUUGCCAAGAUGGAGCAGAGCUGUCACUCAGCUCUCAAGGCUGGGUUCACAGCGUAACUUGAAUCUCAAAAAUUAAUUGUAUGUUAUUUCUUGCCAAAGCUAUGGCAGGGCUGCUGCAGCUGUGGCUCCAGAUACAGCUAUCACUGUGGAAAAACCUCUCUCUAGUGAGCCAGUGGUACGUUUUUUAGCUACCCAUCUGCAUUUAUGUGUGUAAGGUACUCACUUGUGUCUGUGUUUGGAAAUCAAACUUGCUGAUUUAGGUAAUAGUUGGUUGUAGUUUAAAUUAAGUUUGAUGAUUUACUUGUUAAUGGACAUAGAUUAUCCGGAAAUUAAAUCAUUAGCCAUGAAUCAUUCUUGUGAUCAUGUAUUUGUGUGUCUGUGUGUUGUUGGCCUUCGUCAAGCUGAAGCUUCUAGAAUUAUUUCAUUGCUGAGACUUAGUGUACCAAUGUUCAACAGGUAAAUCUAGACAAACUGUUUUGGUCUAAGCCAUGCUCAUUGGCUUUGGCCCCGGACUCCCCAUUAAGAAUUGAAGAGCCACAAUAUGCGGGAUUUAAACAUGCAAUCCUUAGGCUGAUGUUGUUUUAUAGCAAACAAAGCACGUCCAUUCGAGGGGCAAAUGUGGUAUGUAAGCGAAUCAUUUCACAAGUUGAUAAACCUGCCAUUUAUGAAGGUCAAAUUUUCUCUCUUCUUUCCUCUGUAUUUUCUUUAAUAAUCUUGUGGAUAUGAGGAUAAUUGGAAAUGUUUUUAAAGCAAGCUUAAUGGUGAGCUAAACUUUUCUCACAAAAUAUGCAGUAUUCAACUUGGAGAAAACCUUUAAGACAACAUUCUCUCUACUUGUACUUCAUAUGUGGCUUUGCUUACGCCGGUUGAAAGAAGACGGAAAGGAAGGAGUUGAAUUUGGGCAAUACAUAUACGAGACUUACAAUCACGAUGUGGAACUUAUAGAGUAUCUAAGGCUGGGGUAUGUGAUUAGUUCUCUUAUGUUAAGCUACAUAAUCCGCUUUGAACUUAAUGCUUACUGACAGUUUAGUUGCUUCUUGUUAAUGUUAUUUUCAGAUAAAAUCAAAUUGGAGGUCAUCAACUGUUUUUAAAAAGAAUUUUAAGUUAUUUGUUUAGUAUGGGUCAACAAACACAGGGAGUUUUCCAUAAUGAAUCUGUUUCUUAGGUUUUAACUGUUGUGCUUUUGGAAUAAGAGGUUAUGAGAACACGGUAUAAUUAUCAAAAAACCUUUGUAUAAUUAUCAAAACCUUUGUUUCUUAGGUUUUAACUUGUAGAACACGACCACAAUAAAACCUUUGUAUAAUUAUCAAAAGCAGCUCCGUUAUUUUUUCAAUUAUUUAUAAAAUUAAUUUCGCCUUGAGAAUUUGCAGACCAAUUGCUAGUCUUGAUGUAAUUAUGCGUUGGUUGUGAAUUACCAAUUAUCAAGGUAUUCGGUCGUUCGUUCCAUUUAGAUGGGGUAUGUCGCUCUUUUUUUCAUUAUCCCUGAAAAUGCUUUUGCUUUGUUAUGUUAGUUCUUGCACUCUGAAUUUGUUCAGUAUUCUUUCCCAUCAUAUAAAUUGCAUUCUUUUCCACGUAGUACAUGCAUCAGAUCAGAUGAAGCAACUAAGCAAAUUAUCAUAUUUAUAUAGACUAAAAGCGAAAGCUGGCUCAGUUUCCGCGAGUGGGGAUUAGUCGAGGUGCGCGUAAGCUGGCCCAGACACCUCAUGAUACUUACCAAAAAAAAGAAGAGGAAAGUGACAAAAAAGAAACAUUAGUUAUCAGCUUCAAAUGGAUGCUAUAAUUCAGAGGAUUGCAAGCUUUUAUUUAAAACAAAUAGACCCAUCCGAUCAUUGCAAUGAGGAAUUAUAUUGAGAAGCUUCCCCUUAGAGAUCAAGGCGACUCGGCCUUGUUUGUAUUGGGUUUGUGCCUAGUUACUUAUGUCACAGGCUUGUGGACUUGGAUCUUCUUGGGGCCUUAUGGCGAGGAGGUGCAUCCAAUUUUUCUUCCUCAAUUUCCUGCGUAGGUAAAGGGAAUGUCAACAUAUAUCCCAAUGGCAAUAGGAAGGAAGUCAACGAAAAAGAGUUGAUUUGUAGGUGGGUCCUACACUCCCACAACAUCUGAAGGUCGUCCUAUAAGUAUACGUGCAGCCAUGCAUCUUCCCUCCAUCUCUCCAAGCAAGCUCUUCUCUUCUCUUCUCUCUUGUUUUUUCUUCUUUAAAUCGUUGAUUACAGAAGUUGAAUUUGAAGCCAUCAUUUUAAGACAAUGUUCAUUACUUAUGCUAUCAGGAAGCCUUUGACUUAAGGGCAUUGUGCUUUUCGUCCUUGUACCAGCUUCAUAAUGUUUAUUUGGAAUUCUGAAUCAUGUGUUUCACAUAUUGUGCAGGGGCCCCGGAUGACCAAGGGAAAUUAGCAACAGUUUACAAGUCCGAAAAGAGGAAUGAGAUGGUGAAAGAGGGAUACAGAAUUCUUGGCAACUCUGGAGACCAGUGGAGUGACAUACUAGGUACCUCAAUCUCAAUGUCCAUCCGCCCAUUCAAGCUUCCGAAUCCAAUGUAUUAUAUUCCAUGAUAGGGCAAGCAUCUUCAUUGAAGGGGAAUUAAAUAAGAAAUAAAGAAAAUGGUUAUAGAGAUUUAAGUAAUUAAGCAACAAUUUGAAGGGGAAUUUAGUCAUGUAAGUACCUGAUCUCUUAGACCCCUGUAGUCCAAGAGAUUUAUGGUCACUCACCGUUGGAUGUAAAUUCAACGGUUGACUUGAAUCGGGUAAUAAUCAUUUAUGUCAUAUUGCAUUUAUAUAUAUCAUUUUGAACCAUUGGAUUAAUAUCCAACGGUGGGUGACCACAAUCUCUUGGACUCCUGUGGUCCAAGAGAUCGGGACUGCUUAUAAUGAAUAAUAAAAUAAUCAAUAACAUUAAAUGGAUUAAAUAGGAAAUAAAUAAAUUAAAUUAAGUAAUUAAGUAAUUAAUCAACAAUAUAAAACAAUAAAUAAUUAUGUUAUAAAUACGAGAUUCCAAUAAUAAUCACAAAAUGACCACUAGCAUGGUGGUUAAGUGGCUCCAGAACUUGAAAGGGGGAGGGGUUCGAACCCCUUUGUGCGUGAGUUUAAGUGAAUUAUUUAAUUUUUGAAAGUUCAUCAGAUGUGCCCAAUCAUGUCUUAUAGGGGAAGAAUAUAGUAAAGGAAGCACAAAAUUUCUUUGAGAGGAAUACCACUAGACAUAUUAUCACUAGAAGACAAGGUAAAAUAUGUCAUUGCUGAUUAUGUCUCCACACACAGAUGGAGGCCUUACAGAAGAAUGGAACAUGGGAGAUAGUUUUACAACCUGAAGGAAAGAAGUGUACAUGGACAUGCCACCUAGUUAUGGGUUGUCUAAUAAUAAUGGGAAUGUGUGUAGGCUUCGAAAGGCCCUUUAUGGAUUGAAGCAGUCUCCUGAGCAUGGUUUGAAUCGAUGGUUCACUGAAGCAAUGAAGAGGUAUGGAUAUCAUCAAGGUAACUCAGAUCAUACCCUAUUUAUCAAAUGUAGAGAUGGUAAGAUUACUUUGCUGAUAAUCUAUGUCGAUGAUAUGGUAGUUACUGGUGAUGAUGUUGUUGAAAUGGUUAAAUUAUAGAAGUACUUAGCCUUAGAGUUUGAGAGGAAGGACUUGAGGCCUUUGAAGUAUUUUCUGGGGAUCGAAGUAACUCGCUCUGCUACUAGUAUUUGUUUAUCUCAAAAGAAGUAUAUUCUAGACUUGUUGACAGAAACUGGUAUGUUAGGGUAUGCACCAGUCGAAACCCCUAUUGUGCAGAACCAUCACCUCAAAAUCUAUCUUGAUCAAGAGCCAACCAACAAGGAGAGAUAUUAGAGGUUAGUGGGAAGAAUAAUUUAUCUUUUUCACACUAGGCCAUAUAUCGCAUAUGCAGUUAGUGUUAUUAGCCAGUUCUUGCAUUCUGCUAGUGAGGAUCACUUAGCGGCAAUUAUGAGGAUUUUGAGUUAUUUGAAGAAAGCUGCAGGCCGCGGCUUGAUAUUCAAAAAUUUGGGACAUUUAGAUGUCAAGGGUUAUACGGAUGGAGAUUGGGCAUACAAUAUAACACAUAGAAGUUCUACAUUAGGUUACUUCAUUUUCAUUGGGGGUAAUUUCGUUACAUGGCGACGUAAGAAGCAGAAUGUAGUGGCUCGAUCUUCAGCUGAGGAAAAAUACAGGGGCAUAGCACAGGGAGUUUGUGAGCUUCUUUGGCUAAGGAUAAUCCUAUCUGAAAUUGAUUUUCCAUCAAAGAAAGUCAUGGAGCUUUACUGUGACAACAAAGCCAUGAGAGAGAUAGCAAAUAAUCUGCUUGGGGAAGAACAUGACAAAACUAGAAUAGGCAUUAUAUUGAAUAAAUAAAAUUCAAAAUUUACUAAUAAUAAGAUAUACAUAUGAUAAAAUAUAAGUGGUAUGUAAUGCGCGUUAAUGAAAAGUUUGAAAAUAAAAUGUUGAUUAGAAUGAAUAAACCAUGCAUAAAUCCAUAGUUUGUUUAAACAUUGGAUUACAAUCUAGAUAAGUGUCCACCUAUAUAAAUGAAGAGCUCCUAUGAGGUUCAAACAAUGAGGAACAACUAUCUAGAUUCAUACAAUAGUCAUACCAAGUCAUGUAACCCGAGCAGUUUGUAAGCCAUGUUUGAACAUGGUGCACAUAGGUUUCUCUUGAGCUCCCUACUGUCCAUAAUUUGCUUCAUCAUCUUGAGCUUCAUAACUAGUUCCAUUAUAAUCAGACAUGACAUAACCAUAGCCGUCAUAAGAUUCAUUUAAGUUAGUACUAGGUCUAGCUCAUAGAUCCAAAACUGAUCGCCAUGUCCUCUUCAGAUUGAUUGGAGGUAUGUGGGCAAUGGACUGUGCAUAGAUUCUUCAUAUUAAGAAAUUAUAGGGUUCUGAGUGAGGAUUAGCUAUUUUUGGGUUUCAAUUUGCUUCAAUUGCCUUCAUAACAUCUGAAUAUUUUUUGGGUUCUGUUAUGGGUAUCUGGAAAUAUCGGCGAUAUCGGCAGAAUAUCGGGGAUAUCACACUUAAAGGGGAUAUAUCGUAGAUACAGGGGAAGAUAUGGCCUUACUCCCCCAGUAUCGGUUUCAACAAUUAAAAAUACUGAUAUAUCGGUGUAUUGGCCGAUAUUUCAAUCCUUGCUUGUAAUUAGCUAAUUACCUUUCCUUGUAGAAAAAGUCAACUUGUAUUUGUAUAUAUAUCCUCCUCUUGGAGAAAUAUAAUAUUCAUUCACAAUUAUUUAAUCCAUAUGUGUUUAGUUUGAGUGAUAUUGCGUUUUCCGAUGUGUAAGUUUUUCAGUCUAUAACUUACAAGUAAGAGAUAACCAUUUCACUCUGUAAGUUACUGAUAAGAUAUUGGCUUUUCACUAUAUAACUUACUAGUAAGAAAUAGGCCUUUCAAUUUACCAUCAAAACUGAAAUCUUGGUGGAGGCUCUGCACGUCAUCUCAAUUUACCGUCUAAACUGUCUAUUCAUUUAUGACAGAAAUAGUUAGCGAUUAUUAUACUUUUGAUCAUUUACUAAAUUUGGAUCUCCCUACAGUAUUUGUUCGUUGCUCGGAUGAUUUGUGCGAGAUUUGUUGUGAUAUUCCCUUUGGGGUUGAGAAUUUGUUUUACAAGAAGCCAAGCCAUUGGAGAAUUUUUGUUCUUUCCUGUUUUGGGGAAAUUAUUUUGGUGAGUAUGUUAUGACAGUGUUGUGAUCUAAAAGCCAAUCAAUCAUUUGGGUACACGUAUUAUUGGAAGCCACUUGAAGGUUCUAAUGUAGAAAAAUCCUAAGCAUACAACUAACUUGACCAGCUCAAAAAUCAUCUCCAAAAUAAUUCUCUUUCUUCUUCUUCCUCUUCUUACAAAUUUGACAAAAAAUAUUUAACUAGGGAACAUUCACUGGGAGAUGUCAUGAUCAGUGAGGGUAUUAAGGGGUAAGAUUGGAAUUAAAAAGUUAGAGCAGAUUAACCUAGAGAAACUUCUAUAACACUCAAUGCCCAGGUGGCCAAUCAAAGGAGAAAAAAAAAAAAACACCAAUCACACAAUCACUAUUUAUGUACAACCAAGGCCAUAUGUGUAACUUUCUAUAAAGCUAGAUCAAACAACUUCUUUGUUCUCAUCAGAUCACUGUGGUGCUUUAUAUAAAGCUUAUAACUUCGGAAAUACACAACAUAAACGGUUUGGAAAAGGAAAGAAAGAAAAGAAAAACUAGAGAGGGAAAUUAUCAUUAUUAGCUAUAACUAGCAAGACGCUAUAGUGAUCUUAGAGCAAUGAGGCCUUCAGCAAACUCCACCUCUGCGGCUACUGGCCAGGAUGCCGUGCUCAGAAACUGGAAGUCUCCAAUACCAUACCUCUUCGGUGGCCUAGCCCUCAUGUUGGGGCUCGUCGCGGUUGCACUGCUGAUUCUUGCUUGCUCCUUCCACAAAACGCCGUCGUCCAACAGCUCAACAAGCAGUGAUGCAGAUCAAGAUCAGAAACCAACUAGGCCAGUGGACAUAGAGGCUGCAGAUUCUGAGCCCAAGAUUGUUGUCAUAAUGGCUGGAGAGAAAACAGCAACAUACUUGGCCAAGCCAAUGUGUUCCAAUACUUACCAAACCGAUCAAAGUGUUUGAAAUCUCUGCUUCAAAAUGCCUUUCUUUUUGUUUUGUUUUCUAUCUCGGUUUCUUGCAGCUCUAUUUGUUGGUCUCUCUCUCUUAGUACAUGCUUGUUAGCUGUUGCGGGAAUAUCUAAUCGAAGAGAGCUCUAUAUAUAAAGGGUAUAUGUUAAAUCAUAAGAACUUGUUAUACAAUUCAUUUUCUUCUCUUUUCAAUCUGUUCUUAUGUGAGGAUGAUCUAUAGCGAGCUAGUUUACAAUCCGGUUCUCAACUUGUUAGGCUUCAAAGUUUAGGACAUUGGCCUUGAUUCGAAAUUAAUAAACAUUUAUUUUUCCUGCUGGGUUAUUUUCUUUUUCUUUUUUCCUGCUUUGUGAUGAUGGUGCUGUAAUCUUUAAGCCAAGCAAGCUUGAACUUGGGCAAAUCUUGGGUUGAAGGUUUCCGUAGAGAAAAGUUCAACAAUAUUCCACGUGAGAUCACGUGAGAUGGUAUUUAUUUCAUAUUUUGCAGCUAUAAUAAGAAUCACUUGCACAUUUGCGACUGCUUCUCUAAGAUGCACUUCUACUCAUAAUUGUUUUUAUUAUAAAGAUGUUGAAAUUUCAUAAAAAAUCAAAGUGCGUCCUUGAAAAAUACUUAGGAGUGCUUCCUGAAGAAGUGCAUGACAGGUGCUUCUCCAGAAAGCACUUCUAUGACCCAAAAGCACUUCUAGACUUUUCAACCAAACACUGUAAAAAAUGCUUUUUGUUGUCAGAAAGCGCUUUUAGCCCUUCCAGAAGCACUCCCAAAUGAGAUUAAUAUUAGGUUCUUAAUUAUUUUUACCUUCAGGUUCAACAAUUUAAAUCUCAUAUUUGCAAGCUUUUCCCCAAAACAGCUUUUUGCCGCUGAAUUCCAACUACCAUCACUUGAACGAAGGGAUAAAUAUGAAAAAGAUAUUAACGUUAAUUACAAGGUGGUAUGUAUUAUUAUAUCCAUCAAUAAGCUGACUUAAUUAGAAGAAGUCGGACCCCCUGCAGUCUGCGCAAGAGUCUUCCAUCAAUCCCAUAAUUACCAACUGCGGUCUUUUAAUACGCUACUUUACCACAUCUUUAGCCAAUCUUAAGCCAACUAUGUUUGACAGAAAUGCAAAAGCCGAAGAACGUAACCAAUGGAUUUAGAUUAAACAGAGAAGUGGCUUCUCGGAGAUGUAUUUUUAGAGUGCACAUUUUCUUGGAUAUGACACAAAUUAGUAUAAAAGGAACUCAAUUUCCAUUUUGGACGUCAUUAAGUCUAGACGUGUGGACACAUGAAAUGAUGAGUUCCACUGGGUUUUAUAUUUAUAUAUUUUCACAUUUUCUCUGAAGUUUCUUAGGAAAGUGUUAUAGAAGUUGACCAAAUCCAUAUCAAAAUCUCAUUUUCUUGAUGGGAAUAGUUUAAAUCUUUUUUUAUACAAGCACUACUGAAGGAGAGAUGAUUCGAACACCGAACCUCCAGUCGAGUGUAGAGAAAAUUAUUUUUAACCACUUAAGCUAUAAGCCCUAUACUAAUAGUUUAUAUAAAUUAGUUUGUCAUCAAUUAUACUUUCUUGAUGGGAAUUUAUAAUUACCUUAAUGCCGGGGGCACAAGGUCAAAACCACCUCAACCAUGAUAGAUAAACAUGAAAACCAAUUUAUAUAAACUAAUUAGUUUAAUAAUUAUUAAUGGGAGUUUGGCAGAAUGCAUGGAGUCAUAGACCAUGGUAUUGGAUUAGGUGAAAGAGAAGUGGCGUCUCGGUGAUGUAUUUUGCCUACUGUUACUAAUGGAAGACCUAGAAAUUUAGAUCCAUACAUGCAAUAUUAAUAGUAAAAGCAAAAAAAAAAAGGUGGUGGUUUUCUUAGUAUAUUAGAAUCUUGGAUAUGGCAAAUUAGUCUUAAAGGAAGUGCAUUUCCACAUCAUCUUCUUCUUUAGUGGGAAACACUGGACAUCAUGUAUGAAUAUGCUAAUUUUCCACUAGGUUUUUUGUAUUAUUUAUUUAUGUUAGAAUAUAUUUUGAAAUUAUCAUGUGAAAUUAAUUUGCAUAUUCACAAUCGUACAUGCGCACAUGAACAACUUCGCUAGCGCAUAUAUCAUCCUAAUUCCCUUAUUCUUUAGCUAAGAAUUGAUGCCUCAAACCUAUGAUGUACUACUGCCUGCCACUGCUUGCAGUGUCGAGACUACCUAGAAAAAGAAAAUUGUUUCUAGACUGUAGGGUUGAUGUCUGUGGAUGCAAAUAUGCGAGGGCUUGAAAACGUACGCAUGUAGGGUUUACAAUGUUAUACAUGUGAAUGUUAUGAACGAAAUCAAAUUGGAUAUCUUUUAAAGUUGAAAAAACAAAAACAUGGGGAUUUUCUUUUCACCCUCAUCUGUUUGAAGUUGGCUAAACAAAACUGAUGGGAGGUUGAAAAGUUUUCAAAAAAGUUGGUUCUCCAUUUCAACAAUUCUUUUUCAUUUGUGGGACAUCAUUAUAUAUGCUGUGUUAGUGUUUACAUCAACAUUUCGUGCUUAGCUUUUUAUAUAGAAAAAGGAAACUUUUUUGGAUGUCACUGAGAUAUUAAAGGGAAGAUGUCAACAUGCAUAUAGCUGGAAGGAUUGCGUUGUUUGACGUCUAUGUCUAGAGGCCUUGAUUUCAUGGGAACAUGUUCACCUCAAGAAGCUGAUUGAAGCUGCUAACCACUUGUGAUAACCUAGACCACACAAUUUCUUCAUGCCUAUCCAUAUUUAAUUAUCUGAAAAAAGUUGUACGCAAAGGUCUUUUUAACAAUAAAGUUUCAUUGAUCAAAGAAACCCUAAAAACACAGAUUGCACAAACAAAUCUAAUUGCCUCCUUUCCUUUUUGCGUCGUUUUUUGUAUAAUUAAUUUGCAAAUCUCUUUUAGAUCAUGAGGUUCUCUUUACUUUUAAAGAAGAGUAGGUAUGUGAUUCGAAUUCUAGCCUCGAGUGCGUGGAUACAUGCUCACUAGCUACCCAGUGAACCUGCCCUACAAGCCCUACAAGCCAGAAGCAUGAGAUCCUCAUUUGAUAAACAAAAAGAAUGAUCAAAAUUGCAUUCAAAGUGUCGGCAUGCGUUGGAGUAGAUCGACACAUAGCUUGCUUGGAAACCCAAUUAGUAAAAGUGAAUGUUCAUAAUUAUUAUGAAAUAGCAGAAUAAGAAUGUGGAGUUGAGGGUCCAAACUUUUUUCUUUUUUCUUGCUCUUUCUGGUUCGUUGAACGACAGCACAUGGCUUUGCACUUAGCUUUGGUGUGCUGUGCUGGGAGGGUGAAAUGCUUUGGUGGGCUGCUUCCAAUCCAAAUAUUGGAGGGGCCGCUAUUCAAAUAUACAGAGCAUAUUUUAGUGACGCAAGAUAUACAAUAUUGCACUAAAUGUAAACAGUUAUUUUCUCAUUCGGAUGUCGUGCGGAUGUCAUUGUAAACAUGAAGAAAAGUAGAGAAAGAUAAUAAAAAAUACAUGACAUUCGCACGGUAAUAACGUCUGGUCUGAACAUCUAUAUAUAUAUAUAUUUCAUUAUUAGUUGUUCAAUCUUUAACGUACACCUUAAGUGAAAUUAAUCGUCCUUUUCCAACUGAACUAUUUAAGGUACGAAUUGGCAGGCUAGCUUGUACGUGGAUCACCAAGGACCGCAUAAAAACAAAACUUCCUUACAGAUGCCUGAUUAACUAAAGCUAAGAUUUAAUUAAAGCUAAGAUUGGGGAAUGAGUCAGAUAGAGUGACCCAUUAAGCAAUCCACUCCACUAGAAAAUGAAUAAUUAAAUUAAAAGAGAUAAAAAAAGAAAACCAAGAGAACAAAUAGAUGAAGAAAAAUAGCAAGCAGAAAAAGAGUAUAGUAACUUUGGGACCCUAUGUUCCCUCUUCUAAAUUUUUCCCUUUCCCCGUGGACCCUGGCAAAGGAAAAAAUUGCCAAGUUUGGCUUAGGUCACAAUUCUACUAACUAAUUGAUGAUGCGUUUUCAUAUGAGGGAGAAGAAGAUUAAAAUAAAUAAAUAAAUAAGCAAUUAUAACAUUUAUCAUCUCAAAAAUCGAAACCAUAGCACUUGUUUUCAGGACAUUAUAGCUGCAGCCUGCAGGCAUUUUUGGACCACCUUAUCACAAUAUUUUUGUGUUAAAACCUCAAAAAUUCUUUAACUCUGUCCCUUUGUUUUUCAUUUGCCAACGUAUAAAAAGAAAAGUCCAUAUUAUUAAUUACAAAGAGAAUAUAACCUGCAAAUGAUCCACUAGUGUAGCGGUUUAGAGCAACUACUCUCUCAGGCAAGGUCUUGAGUUCGAGUUAUCUUAGCAUCCGUGUAGUGUAUGUGAGUUUAGUAUAUUAUCACCACUCUCAAUAGAAAAAGUCCUAAAAAAAAUAGAAUAGAACAUAACUAGCAUAUCUUCCCAUUUUGUAGAAGACAUUGGUUAAGAAUUCCAAUACAUAUGAAGACUCAUUUUCCCAUUUAUAUCUUUUCAUAUAAGUGUUUCUCCUUUCCCUUAUAUAUACAAGACCUAGACGGUUCCCACACACCAACAUCUAGCUACUUCUGAUAAUUAGAAAUUAAUUGAAAUGAGCAUUAUGCAUAUUUGUAGAAGAAGGUAAACAAAUAUUAAGAGACCAACUUUUGAAACAAUCUCUAUUAAGGGAAAUGGGAACAAUUUUGUGAUCAAACGGAAUUUGACUAAGUGGUUCCUACAAAUUUAUUAGGACCCAAAAAGUCUCAACUACUUUGAAGGGAAAUUUUGACAAACCUCAACAAGCUCAUUUUCUUAUGUUGGUUGACAUCUUAUUUCCACCACAUGAUGAGUUUUCUGACAAUUACCAAUGACUUGAAAUCUUACCCUUUUUGAGUUUUGAUCGAUAUCUCAUAGUACCAACUUUCUUGAGAGCUCUAUAAGGCAAAACAGACCCUUAACAAACCCAUGCCAUUGCCCCAAUUAGUACAAAUAUUUUCUUCUACCAAAUGAUUGAUGAGGCACAAAGAAAAAGAAGAGAACAAUUCGAAAGCAUAUUCCUUUGGUCUUUUUAGGAAAUUGGCAUAAACUAAAUUACCCUUAUUUUUAGUGCCCCAAAAAACCCAAAAGUUCAUGUUUAUUAAUAUUUUUCUAAGAGCAAAUGGCAUGCACUUUUUUAACACCCAAAUCACUUUUGGCACCAUCAAAGUACUAGUACUUGAGCAUCUGAGAAGGCACCAAGAAGCUAAAAUCUUCCUCUUAAACCCAUAGGGGCAAUAUAGUCAUUGAAAAGUUGAACCCCCAUACCUCUUUAUAUAUUGUUGAGGCACCAACCUCAUUUCUUCACACUAAACAAAAGAAAGAAAGAAAGAAAGCAAAUUACCAAAUAAGAAGAGAGAAAAUGAGUUCUGCAAGUUCAACCACAAGCCCCAUUUCAUCACCAGCCAGAAUCCACCACCUAUGGAAAUCUCCAUUGCCUUACCUCUUUGGCAGCUUAGGCCUAAUGCUGGUUGUGAUUUCUGUUGCACUAGUCAUCCUUUUUUGUUCAUACCGCAAACCGUCUUCGAGUGAAGAUGAAGAGGAAGAGAAGCCGGCAAAACCCUUGAACGCAGUGCUCGAUGAUGAGAGAAAGAUUGCAAUUGUCAUAAUGGCAGGGGAAGACAAGCCCACCCACUUAGCUACAGAGAUCAUCAUCACUUCACCAACUUGCUACUGUUCUUGCUCUUCUGAGACUGAUCAGAAAGCCUAAGGGAUCAUCUAGCAGCUAGAACUAGAAAAAAUUAAAAAGUUUUGGUCUACCCCUUACUUUGAUUUGAUCUUUCUUUCAAUUUUUUGUUUUUUUAGUUUCGUUAGUGUUGUCGGGAAUAUGUAAAUUGAUUAUGAGAGUUUUUCUCAGCAAAUCGUUAUAACCAAGGAGCUCUUUAUAUUAACAUGUAUGCUAUUGUUUUUAGCAUAACUUGGUUCUGAUAUAUUAACCAAGAAGCAUAGUUUUUUUUCCUUCUUUUAAUUGAGAUUGAGCAGAGAAACCUUGUUUUGUCUAAUGAGAGUAUUCAACCAUUUGAAAAGCUACACGUUAUCCCAACAGAUUUUAUAUAAAAAUUGUGUAAACAAAAAAAAAAAAAAGGACCAUUAGAAACUUUUCUAAAGAAAAAUAGAAUCUAAUAUGAAUAAUGCUACUCUUACCACAUUUGUAUACCACAUUCUCAUAUCACUUUAUGUGGCAUAUGAGGUGGACAACCACAUCAAUUAAAUUAAUUUAACAUUUUCUUUUCUUUUAUGAUUUAUUGACACUUUUUAAUUGAUGUGGUUGUCCACUUCAUCUGCCACAUAAAAUGGUAUGAGAAUGUGGUAUACAAAUAUGGUAAGAGUAGCAUUACUCAUCUAAUAUUGGUUUUGUAUAUGUGGAGAUUAUAUGCUUGUCUCAAGAUAAUCUAAUUGUAUAUAAACGGUUAUGUGGAGAUUUAUUUAUAAAGGUUCAACAUUGUCCUGAUAAUAUAUUAACUAUAACCAUCUUCAAGGAUGACAACAUCAUGUGCGUCCCAAUUGAAUUAUCGGCUCUAAUACCACUUAUUGAGAUCUACACUUACUAAAUCUCAUACAUGUUAAUAAAGAUAUUGUUCCCAACUUAAAUAAAUUUUUAAGUGCUGAAUCUCAUUGAAUAGCUUUGUAACGUAUUUUUUUUCCUAGCACAUAAUGAUUUGAUUUUUACUUAGAAUUCCUGAACUUGGACGAAAAGAGGAGCAAAGUUCAUGAACUAAAGCACUCUAAUUGAGAUUGGGCAGAGAAACCUUGUUUUGUCUAAUGAGUAUUCCACCAUUUGAAAAGCUACACGUUAUCCCAACAGAUUUUAUAUAUAAAAUUGUGUGAACAAAAAGAGGACCAUUAGAAACUUUUUCUAAAGGAAAAUAUAAUCUAAUAUUGGUUUUGUAUGUGUGAAGAUUAUGUGUUUCUCUUAAGAUAAUUCAAUUGUAUAAAUUAAUGGUUAUGUGGAGAUUUAUUUAUUUUUGAAGGUUUAAUAUUGUCCUGAUAAUAUGUUAAAUAUAAUCAUCUUCAAGGGGUGAUAAUAUCAUAUGUGUCCUAACUGAAUGAUCGGCUCUAAUACCAUUUAUUGAGAUCUACACAGACUAAUAAAUCUCAUACAUGUUAAUAAAGAUAUUGUUCAUAACUUAACUAUUGUAUAAAUUUUCAAAUGCAUAUAAUCUCAUUGAAAAGCUUUGUAACCUUUUUUUUUUUUUCCCUAGCACAUAAUGAUUUGAUUUUUACUUAGAAUUCCUGAACUUGGACGAAAAGAGGCGCAAAGUUAAUGAACUAGAGCAUUCUUUUAAUUGAGAUUGAGCAGAGAAACCUUGUUUUGUCUAAUGAAUAUUCAACCAUUUGAAAAGCUACACGUUAUCCCAACAGAUUAUAUAUAUAAAAUUGCGUGAACAAAAAAAGGACCAUUAGAAACUUUUCUGAAGAAAAAUAAAAUCUAAUAUUGGUUUUGUAUGUGUGGAGAUUAUAUGUUUGUCUCAAGAUAAUUCAAUUGUAUAAACGGUUAUGUGGAGAUUUAUUUAUUUAUGAAGGUUCAAUAUUGUCCUGAUAAUAUGUUAACUAUAUAUAACCAUCUUCAGGGUGAUAACAUCAUGUGCGUCCCAACUGAACCAUCGGCUCUAAUAUCACUUAUUGAGAUUUACACUUAUUAAAUCUCAUACAUGUUAAUAAAAAUAUUGUUCUUGACUUAACUAUUGUAUAAAUUUUCAAGUACAUAUAAUCUCAUUGAAAAGCUUUGUAACCUUCUUUUUUUUUUCCUAGCACGUAAUGAUUUGAUUUUUACUUAGAAUUCCUGAACUUGGACGAAAAGAGGAGCAAAGUUCAUGAACUAGAUCCUUCUUUUAAUUGAGAUUGAGCAGAGAGACCUUGUUUUGUCUAAUGAGUAUUUAACAAUUUGAAAAGCUACACGAUAUCCCAACAGAUUAUAUAUAUAUAAUUGUGUGAACCAAAAAAGGACCAUUAGAAACUUUGCUAAAGGAAAUUAGAAUCUAAUAUUGGUUUUGUAUGUGUGGAGAUUAUAUGUUUGUUUUAAGAUAAUUCAAUUGUAUAAAUGGUUAUGUGGAGAUUUAUUUAUUUUUGAAGGUUCAAGUUGUCCUAAUAAUAUGUUAAAUAUAACCAUCUUCAAGGGAUGAUAACAUCAUAUGUGUUCCAACUGAACCGUCGGCUCUAAUACCACUUAUAGAGAUCUACAUAAACUAAUAAAUCUCAUACAUGUUAAUAAAGAUAUUGUUCCCAACUUAACUAUUGUAUAAAUAAAUUUUCAAGUGCGCAUAAUCUCAUUGAAAAGCUUUGUAAUCUUUUUUUUUCCUAGCAUAUAAUGAUUUGAUUUUUUACCUAGAAUUCCUGAACUUGGACGAAAAGAAAAGCAAAGUUCAUGAACUAGAUCAUUCUUUUAUUAGAAAAUCCAAGGAAUUAAAAGGCUGAUCAAAAGAGCCAAAACUAGAUGUGAUAUUGGGAGGUGCAGGUUUGUCGAUGAUCCUCCUCAUCUUGGUCCUAUUGCCAAUCCAAGUCAUACAUAAUGCCAUUGGAUAACAGAGCAUCUGGGCAUGUGAAGAGCUCCCCCUUUCUGCUGUUUCGAAACAGCCUUUCAUCAACCACUGGCUAUGAGGCUAUGAGGCUAUGAGCCUACGAGCCUAUAAAAAAGAAUAAAAAACAAACCAUGACAUUGCUUUGCACUAAAAAGUUGUUUUUUGUUGCUGAAUAAAUUUUUAUUUUCAGUGGGCAGACGCGGCGGCUUGGAAAAUACACAAUAGGAUAAAAUGAUGGCUUCCACUGGGAAUAAUGGGGGACUUUAAUUUGUGAGGCUUAUUUUUCAACUACCCUUAUUAUAAUUAUAUAUAUAUGUGGAUAUAUUCUAAGGAUAUUCCAGGUCAAAAACUAGGGCUUUUAUUUUUUAGGGUUUAAAAUGUGAAACACUGUGGCAUGGACAACUCUUUGGUCAUAUCAAAUCCAGGCAUGGUGUAGAUUGUACCUUUCGCAACAGAAGCUUUUGUUUGCGGCUAGGUAUGUAGAUUGAUCAUCUUUGCAUCACCUUAUCUGAUCAAUUAUUUUUCUGUGCAGAUUGCAGAACAAACUAAUGGUAGGCAAAUGCACCAUUUGGAAUGAUCUGAGGGGGCCUCACCUCAAAAGGAAUGGCUAAGCACCACAAAAAAAAAAAAAAAAAAUGGUAACAGUCACCAUUUUGUCACUAAUUUUGGUGAUUGUUGUGAGGGUUACUAAAGGCUUUAGUCACAUUUUUUGACUUUUUUGGUGACUAAAAAGGCUUUCAGUCACCUUUUUUGCUUUUUUCAGCGACUAAAGCCUUUAGUAACCCCCACAACAAUCAUCAAAAUUGGUAAUAAAAUGGUAACUAUUGCCACUUUUUUUUUGUAGUGAGGUCUCUCUCUCCGGAUACAAUUAUACAAGUAUGAAAUAACUUCAUAUAUAUAGUAUAUAGAAAGAAAUAAUCAAAGAAUCUUGUCUUUCUAAAAAGUUUUCAACUCCAAUCAUUUUCUAUUUAUUAAUUUCCAAAUGAACAUAUUUCAGAAAUGUAUCAUGAAUUAUUUUAUUUUUGUGUUAGGUAAUAUUAUAUUAAUUAUAAAUAUCAGAUUAUUAUACAAUAUUUAGAGGCAAUUAUUUUUUUUAUCUGAAAAUAUUUGAAAAAAUAUAUUGUAUAUUCAAUUUCUUUUUAUAAGCAAAAAUAAAAGGAAAAUUUGCAUAAAUACCACAUGAACUUUAAAACAUGUGUACGUUACAACCUGGAUUUUUAAUUUUAACUAUUAACCACCUAAAUUUUGUAAAAUGUUACAAUUAACCACCUAUGUCUAACUUUGUUUUUAAUUUUCGUUUAGUCAAUUCGUAAGUGAUAUUUUGUGAAAGGAAAUUUCGUCAAUUCACUAUAACUAAAUAAUAAAAACUAACCUAAUCAUCCGAGGACCUCCAUAAUCCCUUCCAACAUUGUUCUCCCUCAUUGUCUAGAUAACUCCCCUCCCUACUCUCCAUCUCUCUCUCCACCGAAUUCAAUGUUAACAUGGUUAUGCAUGAGUUUCUUUUCUAAAAAUUGUAUUAUAUCUAGAGACCUCAAUAGAUUAGUAAAUAAUCACACCCAAACACUAUUGUACAACCAACAUAUAUGUACCUUGAGAGAGUCACCAAGUUGUUAAUCAAUGUGAUAAGGAUUUGAUCUUAUGAAUAGAUUUAGGGUUUAGACGUAGGUGGUAAUGACUUGACUUAACGAAAAUUUUAACAGAGUCAGACGUGGGUGGUAAAUUGCAACACUUUAUAUAGUUCAGGUGGUUAAUAGUAAAAACUAAAAGUUCAGGUGGUAAUCACACACGUGUCUAAAAGUUCAGGUGGUAUUUAUGCAAAUUUCUCAAAAAUAAAAGUUAUAAUUACACUAAAUUUAUGGACUCCAAAGUCAUCGUCCAUCAAAUUUCAUGUCCUUACAAGCCCCAACAGAAUGGUUUGGCAUAGGUAAAGAAUCGACACUUGUUUGAAACUGCUCUUACUUUAAUGGCAGAGGCCUCACUUCCUCAAUAUUUUUGGUUUCAUGCUGUGGCUCAUGCCACUUACCUAAUUAAUCGAAUGCCAAGUAGAGUAUUCGCAAAUCACUCCCCUUAUUUUAGAUUGUUUCAUCAACAUCUAGAUAUUCAGCAUUUACGAAUUUUUGGUAUACUUGUCUAUCCUUGCCUUAGGUCUACCAAUCAACAUAAGCUUCAACCUAGAACUACUUUAUGUGUUUUCUUGGGAUCUUUACUGGGAUAUAAAGGAAUUUUCUGCUUUAAUAUUAGCACUAUAGUCAGUUACUCGUCUCUUGAGAUGUGAUUCAUGAUGACACAGUCAAUCCUUUUAAAACUAGAAGUAUGUUCAAGUGUGUAUCUCAGUUUCUGUCCAUUUUUGCCUCAUAUUUCUCAAGAAGUUCUUCAACUUAUCACAUUAGUUCACAAUCAUUCUCAACCAGAGAUUCAAUUUCUUCUCCUAAUGGUGUUUCGCCUCAUCUGGUUAAUUAUACUCAUUCUUCUAUGCUUCUAGUAUUUACUGAUAAACAAUUAGAGGUGUUAAUUCCUCAUAUGGCUUCUACUGGUUCUACUACUCAUUAUGAGGCAAGUUCUAGUUCUUCUUAUAGUAUAUCUUCUAUGGAUGAUCCUAUUUCUAUGCACAUGAGACCUAAGUCUACUAUUGUACAAAGGAAAAUAUUUUCUGAUUAUGAGUGUUAUCACACAAAGUGCUUGAUAUUUCAACAUUGGAUGAGCCUGCUAGUUACAAUGUUGCCCUUCAUUCUCCUGACUAGGUUAAUGCUAUGAAGGAAGAGGCUACUGCUCUUACCAUGCAGGGUAUAUGGAUUCUAGUUCCUCCACCAAGUGGUGUUAAUAUUGUGGGCAACAAAUGGAUAUACAAGAUGAAACACAACUCAGAUGGCAGUGUGUCUCAGUAUAAAGCAAGAUUGGUAGCACAAGGCUUUAGUCAAACACGUAGGUUUGAUUGUACUGAAACUUCCAGCCCCGUAGUUAGUCAUACAACUGUACGGAUUAUGCUUAGCUUAGCUACAAUGCAUGGUUGGUUCUUAAGGCAAUUGGAUGUCAAGAAUGCCUUCUUACAUGGUAAUCUUGAGGAAGAAGUCUUUCUGAAGCAAUGUUGUGAUGUUUUAGACAACCUGCAUAACAGAGAUUAUUUCAAACAUGCAUUAUACUCGCAAGUACACGAACCGUUGGUAAUAAAGCUUAUGUAAGUGCGAGGUCAAUUCCAUAGGGAUUGGAUCGCCUAAUUCCAUAUGAUUUCCUAUUGAAGAUAAGAAAAGAAAAAGAAAGAAAAAGAAAAUUACAAUGUUACACAACUCCAAGGCUAAAAUUACACUUUAAACACACAACACAUAAGGGGGUUUGAAAUGAGAAACUAAUUCUAGAAACACCUAUGAAGAGAAAUGCUAACUAAGAAGAUAAACAAACGUAAGUGACAAAAUUUAAUCUAAGACAACUAAAACUAGAACACUUGGAAGUCAUCCCUACACUUUUACUCAUGUUGUUGAAUACUCAAAGCAAAUAAACUAUAAACAAAUUGAUGAAGAUGUUCACAAUCAAGACCGGGUUUAGUGACUCAAGACACAUGAUUCUUUCUAAAAUAAGUAAGGUGCGUGUUUAGUGCUACAAUACUCGUGCUUCCUAUAAAAUCAAUCUAACUGUGCUUAGUACUUCGAUUUAAUCAUAUGAAAAACCCAUUAAGUUUAAAGAGAAUAUGAACAUCACAAGAAUUCUAAUAGCAUGGUGUUUACAUUAAUAAUCUCAAGAAGUAUGCUUUCAAAGGUGAUUAAUCAAAGAAAAACUUACAUCAAGGAUAGAUUAUUUUAGUGAAGAGGAAUUCAUCAAUUGUUGUCAAGAAACCAAUUCACAUGAUGCUCACUUAGAAAUGAUUCAAUCAUUUGUUGCUAAUUAGAAAUAAUGUUCUUGGGUAUCUUACACAACUUCUCAACUUUCGCUAGAUGCAUACGACCUAAGGUGAUCAACCAAAGGAAGUAAACACAUAGCAUAUGAUUAAUUUAGUGAAAAAUAAUUAAUCAACAUCUAGAAAUCCAUAAACCCAAAGCAUCAAAACAAAAGUGUAAUCAUAUUUAGGGCUUCAACCUGAGCCUUAGAAAAAUAAGUUACAUUGAAAAUAAGAAAAUACAAAAAAGAAAUAAAAUGAAAGAAACUAAAAGAAAGGAGGAGAACGAUAAUUGCAUCUUCAACCCCUCGGAUCCUUGCCUCAAGGCUCCCCAAUGUUCUCUCCAAUUAUCAUGCCAUUCUCCUCUUUCUUUGUUUGCUCCUUGCUCUCCUCCGUAGCUCCUUAAAAUUAGAAAUUGCAAAGUGUAGAGAAUGAUUCUUCUUGCUUGGCUGCUGCCCCUUAGAUACCUUCUCCUCUUUCUCUCUUCCUACUCAUUACUCCAUAGGAUACUCCACUUUCUACCCAAAGUUCUUUGGCCCUUCUCUCCACUUGUCUUCACUUUCAUCAUUUAUUUCUUUAACUUUCAAUAGAGAUUCCAGCUUAUCUAAGUAUAAUAUUAUUACCAAGAGGUGUGGUAACAAUUAGGAAAUGAAGGGUGACAUCCAAUGGAGGUAAAUGUCGUCCAAAUCACAAUUCCAGAGUUAGGAUCAAUGCUGGAUCGGUUGGGUAAGCUAUACUUGUUCAAUUGAGCUCAAAUGUGGAUAUGUUGUAGUCAACAUCCAUUGAAACAAGUUUAAUGAAAAUCUUCCCCUCUUCCGAGCCCCGAAACAUGUUGAACCAAGGCUAAGAAGUUUACCUACGAAAAUGAGCAAAAAUAAUUUUAUAUUCAAUAAUGCACUUUUAAAUCACAUUUAUUCCAACCAAUGUAAAAUAUACAAAAUCACAAAAAUGAUGUAGAAGACUAUAAAAUGUCAGGGAUUAACUCAAAACAUUAGGUGAAUGACAAGAUAAAUCAUAUAUAAAAAUGAACCCAACAAGCAACCACAGGGAUUUGUUGAUUCUCAACAUCCUUAUUUUGUUUGUCAAUUAAAGAAAUCAUUAUAUUGUUUAAAACAGGCCCUAAGGGCAUGGAAUGCUAACUUUGCUAGUUAUCUUUUUGCUAUUGAUUUCAAGUCUUCUUCAUCUGAUCCAAGUCUGUUUGUGAAGCACAAUAGUUCACAUAUCAUAAUUCUGCUCUUGUGUGUCGAUGACAUUAUCUUACAGGCUCUAGUUCUCAACUCAUUCAAGCUAUUGAUGAAGAUUUAAGUACAGUCUUUGAAAUUAAGGAUAUGGGACGACUGACUUAUUUUCUAGGCUUACAAAUUUCAUAUUCCAACUCAGGUUCUAUUUUUGUUAAUCAACAGAAAUAUGCUAAGGAAUUAUUAAUCAAGGCUGGUAUGACAAGUUGCAAGGCUUGUUCCACACCUAGUAAACCUCAUAAUCAAAUUCUUACUAUUGAAAGAGAACCAUUGAAAUAUCCUACUUUGUAUCGCAGUUUUGUCAGAGCAUUACAAUAUGUAAAGACCCAAACCUAAAAUUCAUAUUUAAUUAGUAAUUUAUUAUGCGGAAAGACAAUUUUGCCCUUUGACUACCUUAUGAACUCAAAGUUGACUUUUUGACCGAAAAGGAAUUUGACAAUUCCACUUACACCGUUGCGUAGAGCACGACGACACGAGUUCAUAGACACGAAGUAAGCUCAAAUCGGAGUUUUAACGAAGAAAAUACGAUUAAAAAAUAUCGAGGGGCAAAAUGAUAAAUUCGAAAAUCAGAUUUUAUAAAACCUGUUCCCCUCUCUCUCUUCAGUUCUCUCUCCUCUCUCUCUCUCCUUCCUUCCCGUCGCCACACCGGCCACCACAGGGCACACCGAUCUCCGGCGUUGGUACCAGCAGCUUCGUCUCGCCGCCGCCGUCACGCCACGACCCGCCUCCACCCCUGCACCGGCCGAAGCUCACCGGAAACUGGAGGAGAACCGCCGGUUUUGGGCAAAACUUCAUCUCCUUCGUUCUCCCUCAAUUCUCAACCAAAUCGUUCGAGUAAGGUAUGGAUUCUCACCUAUUUUUCAUGCUCUAGCUGAUGGUUGGAUAGGUUUUGAUCGAUUUUAGCCGUAGAUCACUCGAUUUUCGAAUUGAAAAUUGGCCGAACUUCGGCCUCCGUGUUCGGCCACUUCCGGUUAGUUUUUGGGGUAGGUCCAAGAACAAAAGUGACUCCAAAUGGGGUGUUUUACCUAGAAUAGGAGUUCGGAGUCCUGGUUCCGAGAUUUUUCGACCACCCGAAAUCGCUUAAGACACCCAAAUCUACCCGCGCGUGCUGGGGCUCGUGGGCGAGGGUAGUAAAGUACUUUUAUACAGUUUUUGACCCUCGUGUCGUCACGAGAGCGUAGGAUUUCGCGGAUUUCGAUUCGGAGUUCGUUUGAGCCCCGAACGGAUUUUUCAUAUCGCGUGAUCCUUGGGUGCAGUGUCGUCAAAUCGUUGGAUCACACUGAAUUUUGGAUAUGUCGGUCUACAUGAUUUCAGGAUCGUGUAGGAGUCGACGGAUUGCGAAUCGGAGUCCCGGAUACUCCGAAAACGCGAACCCUAGGGCUAGGGUUUAGAAAUUAUGCGAUUACACGAUCGUAAUUAAUCCGACCGUCCGAUUGACACCAAUACCCUCGGGACCUGUGUCCUAAAUAUAGUGGACCUUCUAGCGGCAUCCGGACCAUAUUAUACCCGUGGGGUUCCGGAGUGACUUUUUGGACUUUAGCGCUUUUUGAGUCCCAAGAUACCGCUAAACGAUCCCACGUGGAAGGAAAGCUGUUAUGAGCAUAGGAAUCACUUUAAAUUGACGCACGUACUUGUAGGAGCCGGGGGUAGGGUUUUUAAUUUAAUACUAUAUUGUAUUAAUAGAAUAUUAUGGUCAUUGAAUCAGGCACCGGGGCACCAGUUGACCCGCAGGAGGGACCUUCAAGAGGUCCAGCGAGCUCAGACUAUUAGUGAGUGGACUCUUUAUUUUUAUAAAUGAAUUUAAUCAGUUCAGUUUCAGUUAUCAGCUGUUUUAUUCUGUUAACUAUUUUAUGUUGCAUGCUGCCGAGUGAAAUUUCCUUUAAAGCAUAUAGGAACAGAUAUUCUUGUUUAUUAUCAGAUAAAUGGCAGCAGAAUUUUAAAGGUUACAGAAAGUUAAUUAUUCAACAGAUUUCCUUCAGAAACUUUAUAUUUUCUUAAAUCACCUUGUACCCAGUUAUUAAAUGUUGCCUUCGGUUUAUAUUUGUUACCUUCGGUUUAGUCAGCAUGCUUGACAGUUGCCCCACGAGUUUCUUGGUACUCGAACUCGUGUGGAGCGAGUAAUGCGGAUAAAGGUGGACUACGGUUCCCUGAAUCCUGUGAGUUGCGGCUCGGACUGACUUCGUGUCACUGAGACCUGCGAGUAUGUGUCACCCACGGUGAUGCAAGGAAUUGACGGAUAUAAGGAUUUGACGAAAAUAGGGGUACACCUAGGUGAUAGUUUUCAACUGUUUUCAAAUGUAGAGUUAUAUACAUGCAUUGAUUUCAGAAAUAAAGAAAAUAAGCUAGUUUGUAUAACUGUUUUUACAGUGGGGUUAGUAUGUUCAUAUAGUAUUUUCUAAACUUUGUUUUUGGGUCCACUCACCCUUCUUGUUGUUUUGGGCCCCCAGGCAGUAGACGUGCACAGGAAUCCACCACCGGGCCACUUCCCAUCUUCCGUGCCUUUCUUUGAUGUAGGAUUUGUAUUUUGUACAAAGAUUCACUCUUUUGUAAAUUCUUAGUAGUCGCUCUGAUGUUUUUCCCUAGACUGAGUUUUGAUCUCUUGGCAUGUGUAUAUAUAUGUAUGCUGGCAGUUGGUUAUAUAUAUAUACUUGUUUGAACAGGUGUAAAGAUUUUGGUAUUGAGCCAGAUACAAGGGAAACUCUACCGGUUUUUCGGUAGAAGUCAACCUUGUUCUUUUUAUCAUGUUUUGUAUAGAAGGGCAAAUAGGUCAUUUGUGCCCGACAUUCGCCAGGUGUCGGACACACACAGGGUCUGGCUCGGAUUCCAAAGUGGAAUUUAGAUCGGAUCCUGUCACAAUAUCUCACUUUCACCAGACCAGAUAUAACUUACUCUGUGAACACAACUUGUCAGUUCAUGGCCAAUCCCACUGUUGCACAUUUUUUAUUGGUUAAACUUGUAUUGUGGUAUCUUCAAGGUACACUCCAAUAUGGUAUCACCUUCUCUUAUGAUCCUAUGGAACUCAAAGCUUUCAAUGAUGUCGACAGGGCUGGCGACACUUCAACACAACAUUCAACAACUAGCUUUGUGGUUUUUCUCGGUUCUAAUCCAGUUUCGUGGCAAUCCAAGAAAUAGGGAUCCAUUUCUCGCAGUUCCACCGAAGCUAAGUAUAGGGCUCUUGUGAACACAACUGUUGAUAUACUGAAGGAGAACCCCAUUGGAAGACAAACACUUAGAUUAUCUGUUGUCAUUAUCACAUGUUAAUUCCUUGUAAAUCCCUUUUACUUAUCUUGAUAGAAUUAGACUUCUAUCUAGACUAUGUGUACUUAUCACAACUUGUAAUUGGUUCCCAUAAGUAAUACACGCAUGCCAUUGUUGAAUGUGUGGCUUUAGAACAUCUCUUUCAUGGUAAUUAGAGCACAAGAUUAACCUCUUGUUCGAUCCUUUGAAUUUUUUUUUUCCUUCUCUGUUUUUUUUUUCCUUCUCUGUUUUUUUUUUUCAAUGGUCUCGUCUUCCUCUCAUGAUGAUCUUUCCAUUCCUUCUUUCUCCAAUGUUAUCACUGGUCGCUUGGAUAGGAACAACUAUCCUUUGUGGUUCGCACAAAUCCUUCCUCUCCUACGAAAUUGUCGUCUCCUCUCUUUCAUUGAUGGUUCAUCUGACAGUCCUUCUGCCUUUGUUCUUGACGACGCUGGUAAACCCACCGACACUGUCAACACCGCUUAUGAAGAUUGGAUCCAAAAGGAUUAGUUGGUCCUCCCAUGGAUCAACGGCUUGAGAAACAGAAUCAGCUUCUCCAGCUUCUCCAGCUUCUCCAUGAAGUUGAAGAUUGGAUCCAAAAGGAUUAGCUGGUCCUCUCAUGAAGCGAUAUGCCUCUCAUAAUCAGAAUCGACUUCUCCAGCUUUGCAGUGAACUUCUUUGCACUAUGCACAAUGACUCUUCUAUUUCUGACUAUCUUGAUCAGGUUAACUCAUUGCUGAUAACCUUGCGUUGUUCGGGUCUAAAGUUGAUGAAGGUGACUUGGUUGCAGUUGUGAUGAACAAUGUUUGGGCUCUCUAUGAAACCACCGUCAGCUCUGCCUAGGCCCGCAGCACUCCUAUUUCCUAUGCUAAUCUUGAAGCCUUACUCCUUAGUGCUAAAUGUCGGGCCUCUGCGUACCAGGUUCCCUCGUAUGUUGCUGGUUUCACUGCUUUGGUUGCUGAUCGCGAAAUGAAAACGGGCGGCAUCGUCGUAUGCUCGACAUUUGUUGCCCGGGGUUAUCUCCCGGUCGCGGUACUCUGCGUGGACAUGUUCUUUCUCCUCUUCUCGCGGGGGUGGUCGUGGCUGUUUUCGCUGUGGUUUCUGCGGCUCAUCUUCUCCUCUUUUUGGUGGUCGCAAUUCUACUAAUUCUUCCGAUGUUGGUUCUUCUCAGUAUGGCAUUCUUGGCUCAGCUCCUGCUGCUUAAGGUUUUUAUAGUUUUUCUGGGUCGUCAUCUGGUGCACCUCGUGUUCAAUGUCAAAUUUGUGGUCGCCUUGGCCAUUCCGCCAUCAAUUGUUACAACCAUAUGAAUUUAGCAUAUAAAGGUCGCGUUUCCUCCUAGAUCCUUAGUGCCAUGGUUGCUCAGUCUGCUGCCCCCUCUACUUCUCCUGCUUGGCUCAUGGAUACGGGUGCUAACUCGGAUCUCACUCAUGAUUUAGGCAACUUAUCUCUUGCCAAUGACUACCGUGGGCACGAUCAAGUUGGUGGUGUGCUCAAUGGCACAGGUUUAAGUAUCACUCAUAUUGGUCAAUCUUCUGUAUCUUCUCCUACUACCAUUUUUGCCUUCACUGACGUUUUGCAUUGUCUUCAAUCCUCCAGUCAUCUUAUUUCUGUUAAUAAAUUUGCUCGUGAUAACCGCUGUUUUUUCACCUUUGAUCCAUCUUAUUUUCUCAUUCAGGACUUGGAGACGGGGACGAUUCUUUUUCGAGGCAAAAGUGAGAACGGUCUCUACAUUUUUUUCGUUUUCAUCAAAUAAAACCUCUUCCUUGGGUCAUGUUGUGUUCGUUGGCACUUGUGUUGAUAACAAUGUUUGGCAUUUCCGUUUGGGGCACCCGUCUUCACUAUUUUAAAAUUUUUAAUUUAUAGGAAUAAAUUGCCUAUACUUGGCUGAAAAACUAAGCAUAAUUUUAUUUGUCAUUCAUGCCCAUUGGGCAAAAGUAUUAAAUUACCAUUUUCUUCUUCUCUGUUUGCCUCUACUGCUCCUCUUCAAUUAAUUCAUUCUGAUGUGUGGUGUUCAUCUACUAAAUUUGUUUAUGGUUUUCUCUACUACAUUUUAUUUGUGGGAGAAUUUUCUCGUUAUUCAUGGAUUUAUCCAAUGAAAUUAAAAUAUGAAGUAUUCUCUCAUUUUAGUAAAUUUAAGGUGCUUUGGUGGAAAACAUGUUUUCUACUAUAAUUAAAGUUUUUCAAACUGGUGGUGGUGGUGAAUACCUUAAUAAACCUUUUCUUACCUUUUUGGCCCAUCAUGGUAUUCAUCAUCGCCUUUCUUGUCCCCAUCAACCUUAGCAAAAUGGACUUGCUGAAUGUAAACACAGUCACAUUGUUGACACUGGGCUUACAUUUUUGGCUCAUGCUUCUAUGCCUUCCUUCUAUUGGGUUGGGGCCAUGCACACUACUGUCUAUCUAAUUAAUCGUCUUUCAUCCAAAAUUUUACAUUAUACUUUUCCCUACCACCUUCGUUUUUUAAAAGCUCCCCAAUAUCACAUCAUGAAAACUUUUGGUUGUGCAUGCUUUCCCUAUCUUUGUCCUUAUAAUUCCACUAAACUUCAGUUUCGCUCUACCAAAUGUGUUUUCUUAGACUAUUCACUUAAUCAAAAAGGUUAUUGGUGCUUACAUUUAUCAACUCAAAGAGUCUUUCUUUCUCAACAUGUUGUAUUUGAUGAAAACAAUUUUUCCUUCCGUGAGACUGUUUCGCAGCAUGCUUUGGAUUGAUCCUCCCCCCCUCCGGUCCACGUCCCACCUCUUCUUGUUACUAGCCCACUUCCUACCCGGCCCAUGCCUGCUCCUGUCUCCCCAAAUCCACCAUGUCCUAGCUCAGCUCCAUCCCGACCCACCACCACCAUUCUCACAUAUCGUCGCGAUCCCCAACGCCUCAUUGCUACUUUUUCUCCUCCUCCUGAUCCCUAUAUUCCUCUGUCCAGCACCUCAUCUACCUCUGAUACUUCCUUGGUAAGCACUUCCAUUCCUCAUUCCAUGGUUACUCGUGCUAAAGAUGGUAUUCAUAAACCCAGUCCUCGUUAUGCUCAUCAUGCUUUACUGGCAGAUUCUACUAAUGCUCUUGUUGAGCCCACUUCUUUUAGUCAAGCUAAUACAUAGGUUGAAUGGCGGCGUGCUAUGGCAAAUGAGUUCAACGCCUUGCAACGUUCUGGCACAUUGGUGUUGGUGCCACCCACUUCUCACAUGAACAUUUUGCCAAAUAAAUGGGUUUUUUGUAUUAAACGCAAUUCUAAUGGGUUGAUUCAACGUUACACAACCUGUUUGGUGGCUAAUGGGUUUCAUCAUUAAAAGUACUUGGACUAUGUUGAACCUUUUAACCCUGUAGUCAAUUACUCUACCAUUCGCCUUAUCUUGGCCCUAUCUGUCCAGUUUAAUUGAGAUGUGCGUCAGUUGGAUGUUCAUAAUGUCUUUCUUCAUGGGUAUCUCUCCGAAGAUGUGUUUAUGAAGCAGCCCACUGGUUUUGUGAACCCCCAAUCUCCUCAUCAUGUUUGCGAGUUAAAACGUUCUCUUUAUGGGCUCAAAUAGGCUCCCUGCGCCUGGUUUCACUGUUUUUCUACCCACUUGGAGCAUUUGGACUUUACUGCUUCUACUGCGGACUCCUCCUUAUUUAUUUUUAUUGAUGGCCCAGUUCGUCUUUAUUUAUUAAUCUAUGUUGACGAUAUUCUUAUUAUAGGCAAUGACCCUGGCCGUAUUACUCGCCUUAUUACAGACUUAGGUCGCUUAUUCUCCAUGAAGGACUUAGGCCUUGUUCAUUAUUCUUUGGGUAUGGAGGUCGCUUGCACCCCUGUGGGCUUAUCACCUUCCCUUCUGAUCCUAUGGAACUCAAAGCUUUCAAUGAUGUCGACUGGGCUGGCAAUACUUCAACACGACAUUCAACAACUAGCUUUGUGGUUUUUCUCGGUUCUAAUCCAGUUUCGUGGCAAUCCAAGAAACAUGGAUCCAUAUCUCGCAGUUCCACCGAAGCUAAGUAUAGGGCUCUUGUCAACACAACUACUGAUAUACUGAAGGAGAAACCCAGUGGAAGAUAAACACUUAGAUUAUCUGUUGUCAUUAUCACAUGUUAAUUCCUUGUAAAUCCCUUUUACUUAUCUUGAUAAAGUUAGACUUCUAUCCAAACUCCAUGUACUUAUCUCAACUUGUAAUUGGUUCCUAUAAGUAAUAUACGCCUGCCACUGUUGAAUGUGUGGCUUUAGAGCAUGUCUUUCAAUUACUUGGAUUCGUCAUCUCUUAGCUAAUUUACAUGAAUUCUUCCCUGACCCUCUAUUGCUCUGUGAUAAUUUGUCUGUCUUGGCUCUUAGCUCCAAUCCUAUAUACCAUUCUUCGAUAAAACAUAUGGAUAUUAACGUUCACUUUGUUCGCGAGAACGAGUGCAAUGCAAGGAUUUAGUGACUCAGUACAUUCCUAUUGAGGAUCAGACUGCUGAUGUUCUUACCAAAUGAUUACACCUGGUCCUGUUUUUCACAGGCAUUGUACCAAUCUCAGACUCGAGUUUACCUUGCUGAGAUUGAGAGGGGGUGUUAAUCAUACUGUAUUAGUCUUAGAGUUGUUAUAAUCAGUUCAGACAGCUGUAAAGCCCAUGUGCUCAUCACGUGGGUUAGUUAGUGAGAAUACUUAAGCUAAGUCUUUAGUAUAUAAACUAUAGCUUAAAGCUUGUAAUCAUUCAAAGAAUUGAAACCUCUGUAUUUCAUUCUCUCUAUUCUUCUUGAACUCUCUCCAAGCUUUCGUCUUCGUUCUCAUUCUGUUAUCGGGCUCUCCUUACUGGGCCGGGUUUUCAAACGAAUGAGAGUAGACAAAUUUUGAGUCAAAAUUCGAUAAGGUUAGCCCAAAUCAGUCCUAAGUCAAAGAAGAAGGAAACGUAAAUCAAUCUGACCCAUACACGUUUAUAUCAUAAGAUUUUGGUACUUAUGACAUCUCAGAUUUUGUUGCUCACGGAAAUCUCGAUCUUUGUUUCUUGUCUUUAACAUUGGCCCAAAAUCACUGAGAAAAACGUUUAAAAUUCCUUCUUCCCUUUUUUUAUUUGGGGUGAAAAAUAUCCUAUUUAAAAUACAUAGAUCCUAUUGCCAAUGUGUACCAUGUGAAUUUCAAAGUGGUGACGUUCUUAGCAUAACUUGUUAGUGGGAAACAACCCAAAUCCGAUUUGUGUUGACGGUCCAAGCUUGCGUUCCACCUAUAUGUCCUUUGUAAUGAUAAUGUUGGUUUCUUCAAUUUAGAUUGCCGUCCACUUAUAUGUUCAAUUUAGGGCACAUUCGAGACUGUUUAUGGAAUGACUAAACACGUUUUAUGAAAACUAAAAACAUCUUUGACAAAGUUUGAUAUGAAAACUUAAAAGUGAUUAUGGGUCAUAAAAUUGUUUUAUGAAAAAACACCUUUGGAGAAGUAAGAAGGAAUUGAAUUUUUAAUAAAAUUUUUGACAUGUAUUUCUAAUAAAAGCAUUUAUGAGCAUAAGUGUUUCCUACAAAAGCAGUGUUCGAUGGGAGUUAAACUCUUUUGUUCAUUUUUCUAUUCAAACUGAGAUUGUGGUAGAAGCAUAAACUCCUGUCCUGAUCUACAAUCCCAAAACCCUAGUUGGGUUCUUGCAUUUUAUCUCCUAUAGAAAGCUGACAAGUCACUGAUUUCAAAGGUGGCAAGGAUAAGAAUGAAAUGAGAGAACGGUUUCUGUUCUUCUAACACAAACUCAUGAACAUGGGCAGGUACGGACUCACAGUGGGGUUAAUGGAGUCAAACGACCCUAUGGACUCCAUGAGCGUAAGGUAGAAGGUCCUUUUGAACCUGUGUGUGACCCCCAUGAAUGGCUGAAGGAGGAGCUGCAAAUCUGAGGAAGAAGAAGCUAAACAGGGGUUCAGUUUUUUUAUUAAAAAAAGAAGCUGACCAAAACGGCGUCGUUUUGGGUCAGCUUCUAUUUUUUUUUUUCAAACCCGGCUGGCCAAAACGGUGUCGUUUUGGACCAGCCCAGCGAAUUUUUUUAAAAACGCGCUGGAUCCAAAACGGCGUCGCGCUGGGUUCAAAACGACGCCGUUUUGGACCAGCAGCAACGAAUUUUUUUUUAAAAGACCCGGCCAAAACGACGUCGUUUUGGUCUAGGUCUUCGAGAAAAAAAAAAUUAGAACAGAUUGUAGUUGAAAUAGACCCUUCUCUUCGACCAAACAGAACAGACCCUUCUCAAAACUCCAAAACCCCCAUUUCCUAAACUUAAAUCCCCAACCUCCACCCACCCACGAACCUUUAACCCUCUCCCCACC